CCGGUAGUCGUACGCGGUGUGCGUAGGUUUGCACGGGUAGCCGUAGACGUUUGAGCUUGCUCCUCUGAUUUAGCGGCGGAGGGGUGAGUAACACGUGGGCAACCUGCCCUGCAGACUGGGAUAACUUCGGGAAACCGGAGCUAAUACCGGAUAAUCCAUUUUACUUCAUGGUGAAAUGUUGAAAGGCGCUUUCGCGCCACUGCAGGAUGGGCCCGCGGUGCAUUAGCUAGUUGGUGGGGUAACGGCCUACCAAGGCGACGAUGCAUAGCCGACCUGAGAGGGUGAUCGGCCACAUUGGGACUGAGACACGGCCCAAACUCCUACGGGAGGCAGCAGUAGGGAAUCUUCCACAAUGGACGAAAGUCUGAUGGAGCAGCGCCGCGUGAGUGAUGAAGGUUUUCGGAUCGUAAAACUCUGUUGUAAGGGAAGAACAAGUACGUUAGGAAAUGAACGUACCGUGACGGUACCUUAUAAAACA
rnacentral:rRNA from 1 species